UACGGAGGGGCUAGCGUUGUUCGGAAUCACUGGGCGUAAAGGGCGCGUAGGCGGCUUUAUAAGUCGGGGUGAAAGCCUGUGGCUCAACCACAGAAUUGCCUUCGAUACUGUAGAGCUUGAGACCGGAAGAGGUAAGUGGAACUGCGAGUGUAGAGGUGAAAUUCGUAGAUAUUCGCAAGAACACCAGUGGCGAAGGCGGCUUACUGGUCCGGUUCUGACGCUGAGGCGCGAAAGCGUGGGGAGCAAACAGG
rnacentral:rRNA from 1 species